AUGCCAUGCCUUAUUAAACUGGACAUGCAUCAUACUUGUUUGUGCAUCAUGCCAUGUUUAUGCUCGUGCAUUUACCAUGUUGUUUGUUUCUUUCUGGUGUUGCUUCUUAGAUCCGGUAAUGUUGCGAUUGUGAGGAUUCGUUCGACUACUCCCGUUCGUCUUCUUCAUGGACUCGUUCUUCUUCCUAGCGGGAUUUCAGGCAAGAUGACCGCUACCCUGGAUCUCACUACUAUCUUUGCUAUACUAGUUGCUUCGUUCUAUCGCUUUGGUGCGCUACCUAUCACCUGUUUAUCAAGCCAUCCCAAAUUGCCAUGA
rnacentral:rRNA from 1 species